rnacentral:rRNA from 1 species
UAGAUACCCUGGUAGUCCACGCAGUAAACGAUGAAUGUUAGUCGUCGGGAUGCAAGUCAUUUCGGUGAUGCAGUUAACACAUUAAACAUUCCGCCUGGGGAGUACGGUCGCAAGAUUAAAACUCAAAGGAAUAGACGGGGACCCGCACAAGUGGUGGAGCAUGUGGUUUAAUUCGAAGAUACGCGAAGAACCUUACCUAGCCUUGACAUUGAUAGAAUCUUCCAGAGAUGGAGGAGUGCCUUUCGGGGAACUUGAAAACAGGUGCUGCACGGCUGUCGUCAGCUCGUGUCGUGAGAUGUUGGGUUAAGUCCCGCAACGAGCGCAACCCUCGUCAUUAGUUACUAACAGUUCGGCUGAGGACUCUAAUGAGACUGCCUUCGUAAGGAGGAGGAAGGUGAGGACGACGUCAAGUCAUCAUGGCCCUUACGGCUAGGGCGACACACGUGCUACAAUGGUUAGGACAAUGAGAAGCGAUACCGCGAGGUGGAGCAAAUCUAUAAACCUAAUCUCAGUUCGGAUUGUAGUCUGCAACUCGACUACAUGAAGCUGGAAUCACUAGUAAUCGUAGAUCAGCCAUGCUACGGUGAAUACGUUCCCGGGUCUCGUACUCACCGCCCGUCACACCAUGGGAGUUGAUUUCACCCGAAGCGGGGAAGCUAAACUGGCUACCCUCCACGGUGGAAUUAGCGACUGGGGUGAAGUCGUAACAAGGUA